GUCAUAGUUCAGUGGCUGAGCAUCUGUUUUGUAUGCAGAAGGUCCCAGGUUUCAACUCCUGACAACUAUAGGCA